rnacentral:lncRNA from 12 species
AUGUGCCGAACGGGGGACCCCGCCGCUUGUUUGCUCAGGGGCGCCGCCAGCACUGGUGAGGGCGAUCGCUCCGGGGAGCAGGCCCCGGGCCCCGUACACCUCCCCUCUCGGCGGCUCUGCCUUUCCAGGCCUUUCCCCUGGGCCGCGGUGGCCGCCCUGAGCACCGGGUGCUCCCUGCCCGGAGGUCCCUACGAGGCCCGCCUGGGUGAAGGGGCGCCAGCCAGUGUGGGCCUGUGUCUUGCUGGGGUUUCCCGCAGGGACGGGCGGCGAGCUGAGCCGGCCCCGCGCCCAGGGCGCCCCGGAAGUCAUCCCAGCAGCGCCGCGGUCCCCUUGGUGUUCUGUGUCUCGCUGCCCCCAGUGACCCCUCACCUGGGGGACCCGGUGCCAUGGCCACCGCGCCCCAGACGGAAACUGCGGCCUGGAGCUAUGCGGCCAGGCCUGGCUCCGGGGGAGAGAGUGGAGCGGCCGGGCUUGAUGGGGGGACGGGAAGAUGGGGACCCCGUGCGACGGGCAAGGCCCAGGCCUUCGGCGGCUGCCGCACGUUGCCUGGCGGUUGUGGGACCCCGAAAACCGGCAGUGGGCGGGAAGGGGCCUCGCCGGAGGGUCUGGGAUGCCACCGACCAGCUCCCAGCCAGCCGCCUGGGGCGCCCCUCCUGGGCCGAGCGUGGGGGCGGCUCUGACUCCCGAGGGCGCCGCGGGUGCCCUUCCUGGCCCUUCCGGGUCGUGGCAAUGUGGAUUCUUCAGCAGCGCCCCCGAGGGCCUGGGCGGCCGGGUCCCUGCCCAAGCUCUGGCGCCCCCCACCCCCCGCCCCCCGCUCCAGGCUCCGCGGCGCCGAGGGGCUGUCCCUGGCGUCAGGCCGCCCGCAGUGCCCCCCACGGGAGGCUGAGGGCACGGUGGGUGUGGGCGGGGGGCACGGCCUGGGGAGGUCGCCAGAGGUCGGGGCGGGCGGGGAGCCCAGGGCUGGCGGCGCCAGAGGCCCCUUGGUCGGUCAGGCUUCCUGGGGCGCAGGCAGGGGGCUGCAGCUGGCUCCUGGGGGGCCCCAGGUCAGGGGCGGCACAUUCUCAGGACCCCAGAUGGAGGAGAACCCCGCCCGCCCCCGCCCCAGACCCCCCCGGGGACUUGGGCACCCCCUGGAGGAGGAAUGAAGCCGGGAGGAUGGUGAGGGGAAGCCCGCCCAGGGGGGAGCAGGACCCCGCAAGGCCGCCACGCACUUGGCGGGGGGAAGCCCGCAGGACAGGACCCGGAUGGCCAGUGUCCCCGUGGCCUGCGGUGCGGGGCUGGGGGAGGGCUGUUCUCGGCCACACUGCACACCUCCGAGCUCCGAGCCGAUCUAGGUUACAGCCCUCUGGGCUCCUGCUAGGUCUCUAG